CUGUGCAGGAAACAAACUAUAAUAAGUUCAACAAUCAAGAUGCGUGCAUGCGCACCUUAAAGAAAGAGAGAGAAAGAUAAAAUAAAGAGUGAUGCACUUAACAGUUGAACCAAUCUUUGCCAGUGCUGACCCAUCAGCAGAUGCAACAGCCCCUAUAAAUUAGUCAGGUUCAAUUACAAUUAGCUAUAUAAAUAAUAUUCAUCUACAUUAUAAAGUGAAAAAUGGGCAAAUUCUACAAAAAGAAAAAGGCUUAAUU
rnacentral:misc_RNA from 1 species